rnacentral:lncRNA from 1 species
AUGGGGAUGAACUGCAGGACAGAACACGUCAGCUGGACUCCAGAGGAGCCGGUCGCACCUGCGUGGGCGGAGCUUCACCUUGAGAGCCGACGUCAUGAAGACGGAGCAGCCCAUCAGGAAGAAGAUCAUGAAGCCCGUGACCCUCUGCUCCUUGAUGCCCAGGAACUUGGGCUGCUCGCCGGGCGCCGCGCACUCCGACUCCACCUUCAGACUGUUGACGUGGGACAUGGACAGCACCGUCGCCGCCACGAACCACGGCAGGCCCAUGAUGGAGCACACGCCCAGCAUGAGCGCCACCACCAGGAGGUCCAGGUGAUAGCCGCAUCCUUUCUGCAGCCAGAGAGACAAGCAGCCGCGUCAGUCCGGCCCUCAACGGGACGUGCUGGAUCAGGCCACGCCCACCUUCAGUUUGUUCUCCUUCCUGUUGACGAUGACGGCCGUGAUCUGCUGGUCCAUGAAGACCAGGAUGGUGCAGAGCAGAGCGGGCAGCGCGGCCACCAGCAGCGUCCACCAGGGGUUCGGGCCCAGCGGGGAGAUGAACCAUCCUCGAGUGCUGGAGGUGGGCUGAGCAGACGGGGGUUGGGUCACCGCAGGUCAACAACGGCGAGAACGCCGACCAGGAUCAGAGACCUGGACGCGGUUCAGGUCCUUAAUGCCGUCAGGCUUCAACCGCUCAGACACGGGAACAUUCAGCAGCUCCCUGCCCCUCCCCCUCUGGUUCUGAUCCCCUUUAGAACAGGAACCAGAACUUCCCGGCUGGGCGGGAAGGCCCACCAGCUGCUCUGCCUCCCCAGGAAGUGUGUACCACGGCGCGGUGGAGAGGAAGCCGUUAACAUCGUGAAGGACUCCACCCACCCUCUUCCAGCCCCUCCCUCAGGCAGGGGGGGGGGUGAGGAACAUUUGGGGCAAACAGGCAUCCAGCACGGGCAGAUAGUGGUUCCUCAGAUGUUCUUACUUUUAUUAUUACGACAUUGUAUUUUAUGGAUUUUAUUUCAUUGCCUUAAUUGUGUUUUUGUGUUAAUGUUGUGUAAAGUGUUCCUGUUUUCUGGACUUCCAGACUCUGUUGGAACGUUUUUGGCGUUUUUGCGAAAGUGUUUCUCUGGAUUCUGGAUUCACACAGAGAACUGA